rnacentral:rRNA from 1 species
GACGAACGCUGGCGGCGUGCUUAACACAUGCAAGUCGAACGGAAAGGCCCUGCUUUUGUGGGGUGCUCGAGUGGCGAACGGGUGAGUAACACGUGAGUAACCUGCCCUUGACUUUGUGAUAACUUCAGGAAACUGGGGCUAAUACCGGAUAGGAGCUCCUGCUGCAUGGUGGGGGUUGGAAAGUUUCGGCGGUUGGGGAUGGACUCGCGGCUUAUCAGCUUGUUGGUGGGGUAGUGGCUUACCAAGGGUUUGACGGGUAGCCGGCCUGAGAGGGUGGACAGCCACAUUGGGACUGAGAUACGGCGCAGACUCCUACGGGAGGCAGCAGUGGGGAAUAUUGCACAAUGGGCGGAAGCCUGAUGCAGCAACGCCGCGUGCGGGAUGACGGCCUUCGGGUUGUAAACCGCUUUCGCCUGUGACGAAGCGUGAGUGACGGUAAUGGGUAAAGAAGCACCGGCUAACUACGUG